rnacentral:rRNA from 1 species
CGGCGGACGGGUGAGUAAUGCCUAGGAAUCUGCCUGGUAGUGGGGGACAACGUUUCGAAAGGAACGCUAAUACCGCAUACGUCCUACGGGAGAAAGCAGGGGACCUUCGGGCCUUGCGCUAUCAGAUGAGCCUAGGUCGGAUUAGCUAGUUGGUGAGGUAAUGGCUCACCAAGGCGACGAUCCGUAACUGGUCUGAGAGGAUGAUCAGUCACACUGGAACUGAGACACGGUCCAGAACUCCUACGGGAGGCAGCAGCC